UGGCCCUCAGUAGAUGCUUCAUCAGUGUAGGGUUUGUUUGAGGCCCCUGUCAGGGCUGGGGGUGGGGGUGCAGGAGUGUUCAGAGGGGAGAGGGACCGCACUCUGAAGCCGGAUGCUUCGUGGGCAGCCUGCCUAGACAGUUUUUCCCGGGAGCGGGUGAGCGGGAGGGCUGUGGGCGGCUGCAGUCUAGGGGAAGCACAUGGGAGCACCUAGGCUGGCAUUGGGCCCCGGAGGCGGGGGUGGGGAGGUACGCUUUCCCUCUGCUCCCCAGAGCCCGUCUCUGCAGGAAUGAUCGCGCUUGAGGCAGGGAGCUGGAAGCUGGGGGAAUGACCUUCCAGACAGGAUGGGCCCCCUUGAAAUCCCCGUGGCUCACUCAGGGCUGUGGGCCAGGGUCUCACUGGCCCAAAGCUGUGAAAGCAGAGGGUGAGCAGCCAGGUGCUACUAGAGCAAUGGUGUGGAGGCUGAGCCCAGACGGUGGUGCAGGAAAGUGAGAAGCUUCUUAAAGGUCCCUCCUGCCCACAGUCCUUGGGCCUCCGUGCCCUAGAGCCCAGCACCUGGACUUGCAUCAGCCCUGCCCUGGAAACCCUGCAGAAGGAAAUGGCAACCCACUCCAGCAUCCUGGCCUGGAGAAUCCCCACAGACAGAGGAGCCUGGCUUGAAAACGUGGGCCUCUGAGUCUGUUCCCCAAAUGGAUGUAAAUGCUGUCAUGUACGGCUGGUGUGAAAUUCUGAGUAACGCCUGCUAAAGGCCAGGUCAUCGCAGCCAUACAGCCUGCAUGCUGAGAACAGAACAGGGCCCCACCCAUCUGGUGAGCAAGCUCUGCCCAAAACUCGACCUUGCUCCAGGGCCUGUCCUGCACCCUCGACGGUGGAGCAGGCCAGGGAUCAACGGGAAGUGGCUGCCCAGAGGAUGCUGAUUGCUCUGGCAAUCAACCAUUGAUUAGUGAUGUCCAUGGAGGGUCCCAAAGGGGAUGGAUGGAGUCUUCAUGCUGCCGUUAAGGAUAUUCUUCCACCUGGACCAGGCUGGCUGGGUGGGCCAGGGCCCGCAGUGGGGAGUGGGUGCCCCUUGACCACGUGCACUUCACCCCCGAAUCCCCAAGCCCUCCUGUCUAGAACGUGUCCACUGACGUAUGAGAACCUGUGGGGCGGGCCACAUCAGUGGAGGCCAGAGCUGAACCAGAGGCUCCUGGACACAGUUAAGUCAGGGUGGGGAGACGACUGGGGGACCUAGGGGUGUCAGUCUCAGUGCUGGGGACCUAGGGACAGAUCACUGAGGGUGCCCGUCCUGGGCACGGUGGGGUGUGGAGCCCCCAUCCCCAACGCCAGGAGUCCCCCAGGUCCUGACAACCAGUUGUCCCUAGACAUCGCUGAGCAUCGCCCCCUGGGUUAGGUGAGCACUAAGCGCCCCCUGGAGUGUUUAGGAAUGCACCCUCCUUCUGGGGGGUGAGGGUGGGGGCAAAGAUGGAGGAAACCCUCAGCUGACGAGGAGCUUCCUCGGGAACCGUUAUCGACUAUUUUUAGGGGUUGUACUUGUUUUCAAAAGGUCUUAGUUGUUUGGUGCCUUGGUUCUGACAGAUGUGCUGUGGUUACACAAGAUGUUAGCAAUGUGGACAGCUGGGUGUGGAUAUGGGCGUGGGGGGCGGGAACGCG